UACGUAGGGUGCGAGCGUUGUCCGGAAUUACUGGGCGUAAAGAGCUCGUAGGUGGUUUGGCGCGUUGUUCGUGAAAUCUCACGGCUUAACUGUGAGCGUGCGGGCGAUACGGGCAGACUAGAGUACUGCAGGGGAGACUGGAAUUCCUGGUGUAGCGGUGGAAUGCGCAGAUAUCAGGAGGAACACCGGUGGCGAAGGCGGGUCUCUGGGCAGUAACUGACGCUGAGGAGCGAAAGCGUGGGGAGCGAACAGG
rnacentral:rRNA from 1 species